rnacentral:rRNA from 1 species
CCUACGGGAGGCAGCAGUGGGGAAUAUUGCACAAUGGGGGAAACCCUGAUGCAGCGACGCCGCGUGAGUGAAGAAGUACUUCGUUAUGUAAAGCUCUAUCAGCAGGGAAGAAAAUGACGGUACCUGAGUAAGAAGCCCCGGCUAACUACGUGCCAGCAGCCGCGGUAAUACGUAGGGGGCAAGCGUUAUCCGGAUUUACUGGGUGUAAAGGGUGCGUAGACGGCAGUGCAAGUCUGGGGUGAAAGGCGGGGGCUCAACCCCCGGACUGCUCUGGAAACUGUACGGCUGGAGUGCAGGAGGGGUAAGUGGAAUUCCUAGUGUAGCGGUGAAAUGCGUAGAUAUUAGGAGGAACACCAGUGGCGAAGGCGGCUUACUGGACUGGAACUGACGUUGAGGCUCGAAAGCGUGGGGAGCAAACAGGAUUAGAUACCCGAGUAGUC